UAGAGUUUGAUCCUGGCUCAGAUUGAACGCUGGCGGCAGGCCUAACACAUGCAAGUCGAGCGGUAACACAGAGAGCUUGCUCUCGGGUGACGAGCGGCGGACGGGUGAGUAAUGUCUGGGAAACUGCCUGAUGGAGGGGGAUAACUACUGGAAACGGUAGCUAAUACCGCAUAACGUCGCAAGACCAAAGUGGGGGACCUUCGGGCCUCAUGCCAUCAGAUGUGCCCAGAUGGGAUUAGCUAGUAGGUGGGGUAAUGGCUCACCUAGGCGACGAUCCCUAGCUGGUCUGAGAGGAUGACCAGCCACACUGGAACUGAGACACGGUCCAGACUCCUACGGGAGGCAGCAGUGGGGAAUAUUGCACAAUGGGCGCAAGCCUGAUGCAGCCAUGCCGCGUGUAUGAAGAAGGCCUUCGGGUUGUAAAGUACUUUCAGCGAGGAGGAAGGCGUUAAGGUUAAUAACCUUAGCGAUUGACGUUACUCGCAGAAGAAGCACCGGCUAACUCCGUGCCAGCAGCCGCGGUAAUACGGAGGGUGCAAGCGUUAAUCGGAAUUACUGGGCGUAAAGCGCACGCAGGCGGUCUGUCAAGUCGGAUGUGAAAUCCCCGGGCUCAACCUGGGAACUGCAUUCGAAACUGGCAGGCUAGAGUCUUGUAGAGGGGGGUAGAAUUCCAGGUGUAGCGGUGAAAUGCGUAGAGAUCUGGAGGAAUACCGGUGGCGAAGGCGGCCCCCUGGACAAAGACUGACGCUCAGGUGCGAAAGCGUGGGGAGCAAACAGGAUUAGAUACCCUGGUAGUCCACGCCGUAAACGAUGUCGACUUGGAGGUUGUGCCCUUGAGGCGUGGCUUCCGGAGCUAACGCGUUAAGUCGACCGCCUGGGGAGUACGGCCGCAAGGUUAAAACUCAAAUGAAUUGACGGGGGCCCGCACAAGCGGUGGAGCAUGUGGUUUAAUUCGAUGCAACGCGAAGAACCUUACCUACUCUUGACAUCCAGAGAACUUAGCAGAGAUGCUUUGGUGCCUUCGGGAACUCUGAGACAGGUGCUGCAUGGCUGUCGUCAGCUCGUGUUGUGAAAUGUUGGGUUAAGUCCCGCAACGAGCGCAACCCUUAUCCUUUGUUGCCAGCGAUUCGGUCGGGAACUCAAAGGAGACUGCCAGUGAUAAACUGGAGGAAGGUGGGGAUGACGUCAAGUCAUCAUGGCCCUUACGAGUAGGGCUACACACGUGCUACAAUGGCAUAUACAAAGAGAAGCGACCUCGCGAGAGCAAGCGGACCUCAUAAAGUAUGUCGUAGUCCGGAUUGGAGUCUGCAACUCGACUCCAUGAAGUCGGAAUCGCUAGUAAUCGUAGAUCAGAAUGCUACGGUGAAUACGUUCCCGGGCCUUGUACACACCGCCCGUCACACCAUGGGAGUGGGUUGCAAAAGAAGUAGGUAGCUUAACCUUCGGGAGGGCGCUUACCACUUUGUGAUUCAUGACUGGGGUGAAGUCGUAACAAGGUA
rnacentral:rRNA from 1 species